AUACGUAGGUGACAAGCGUUAUCCGGAUUUACUGGGCGUAAAGGGCGUGUAGGCGGUCUUGCAAGUCAGAAGUGAAAUUCCUGAGCUCAACUCGGGCGCUGCUUCUGAAACUGCAGGACUUGAGUGCUGGAGGGGAUAGCGGAAUUCCUAGUGGAGCGGUAAAAUGCGCAGAUAUUAGGAGGAAUACCAGUGGCGAAGGCGACUCUCUGGACUGAUACUGACGCUGAGGCACGAAAGCGUGGGGAGCAAACAGGAUUAGAUACCCUGGUAGUCCACGCUAUAAACGAUGAGUGCUAGGUGUCGGGGGUCAAACCUCGGUGCCGCAGUUAACACAUUAAGCACUCCGCCUGGGGAGUACGGCCGCAAGGCUGAAACUCAAAGGAAUUGACGGGG
rnacentral:rRNA from 1 species